rnacentral:lncRNA from 1 species
UGCUGAUAGAUGUGGUAACAGGUUCUUGCUGAUGUCGAGGAGCCGGACAGCACAUCCAGCCUCUAUAGGAUGUUCGCUCAAAGUCCUGAUCAGAUUGUCCUUUCCUGAAAGUUCUAGCUCGCACGAAAGACACUGGAUGGCUAAAUGUGCUCCUUCCUUUGGAUCACCUAGAUUCUUUCAGAUCAGAGGAUGAAACAAUAGGAGGAGAU